ensembl:snoRNA
GUGGCAGUGAUGAUUGGCGCAGGGGUACGGACCUCAGCUGAUGAUGGGAGCUGAGUGGAAGUGUUGCUCUCUGUCAGCAGGCAAGUGGCUGGCUGUCAGAGACGCACUGACACGAUACAACCGCCUAAAUCUGAGCUGA